rnacentral:rRNA from 1 species
CCUACGGGGAGCAGCAGUGAGGAAUAUUGGUCAAUGGCCGAGAGGCUGAACCAGCCAAGUCGCGUGAGGGAAGACGGCCCUACGGGUUGUAAACCUCUUUUGUCGGGGAGCAAAGAGAGGCACGUGUGACUCAUUGAGAGUACCCGAAGAAAAAGCAUCGGCUAACUCCGUGCCAGCAGCCGCGGUAAUACGGAGGAUGCGAGCGUUAUCCGGAUUGAUUGGGGUUAAAGGGUGCGCAGGCGGAGGUGCAAGUCAGCGGUCCAAUUGCGGGGCUCAACCCCGUACUGCCGUUGAAACUGCAUCCCUUGAGUGCGCGAGAAGUAUGCGGAAUGCGUGGUGUAGCGGUGAAAUGCAUCGAUAUCACGCAGAACUCCGAUUGCGAAGGCAGCAUACCGGCGCGCAACUGACGCUCAUGCACGAAAGCGUGGGUAUCGAACAGGAUUAGAUACCCGAGUAGUC